AUUUUAUGUGGUGUCUUAUUAUUUUGGUCUGUUAUGUAACUUGCAUGCUGUCCUCUUUGUUAACAUUUGACUUUUUUUCCAUCUCCCACCUCACAUCAUGAUAAAUGGAAGGGGAUUAAUAAAAUAAAUGCGCUGUGAGUUGAAAAUGCAUUCUGCCGACUUUUGUAUGACUGAUGAUCUAAGAAUCCCUUAAUUCACAUCCAAGCAAACUAUUUCCAGAAACAUGGGGACAUCAGGGGAAAAACAGCUCUCCAUAAAGCAAAAAUAAAACAAAAACGUUGAUAGUCAGCCCUCCACACUUGCAGGUUUGACUUUUGUUGAUUUGAUUGUUUGCAGAUUUGUUUAAAAUGUUCCCUCUAGGAAUCUUUAGGUCCUCCAUGGAUUCAUGCUAGUAGAUCUAGAGAUUCCUAGAAAGAGUUCUAUGAAUCUCUAGGUUCUCCAACAGGAUUCUUUAGUCAGUUUCUGGUGGAAGUUAGCCAUAGUCAUGCUGAAGCACCUGGUGAAUUUGUCCAUUGCAGACAGAAAAGAAAUCUAAGUCUGCAACAAUCCAAAAAGUGGGUUCUGAUGUUAUAAGACUUAGAAUAAUAGAAUCAUAGACUUACACCACUCUAACUCACUAUUAGAAGGCAUGUUGUUUAUAUUUAUUUCUUACUACAGUCAACAAGUUGCAGAUUGAGCUCACGAGGGGCCGGCUUCUGUUUUGUUUACUGCUGAUUGUUGACUUUGAAGUGGAAGUAUCCUGUUCUAUUCUUCAGUAUCCUGUUCACCAGCAACACAGAACUCCAUCCCUUGAUGCAGCCAGAUGGAUUUUAAGGUGAAGCUCUUUAUGACUGGACUGGAGGAGGAGGUGGAAAAGGAGGAGGAAUACAUCAUCCCCACCUCAAUGGAGGAAACCCAUUUCUGCUUAAGAGCCAAACUGUCCAUGACAAUAAAAGUGUUUAACAAUUCAUUGUGCAUUGUUUAAAAAAUUGACUCUUUGACAGGGAGAAAGAGGGAGUGAGUCUGGGAAUGUUGUGGUUGAUUAAUUUUCAAUAACACUCUCCCUGUACCCAAAAGAAAUCAAGGCCACCUCCUUACUAAUCACCACAGUGCAGAGUCCCCUUGGAGGAUAUUUAAAUAAUAAAGUGAAUGCACUUUUCAAUGCUGAUAUGCAUUUAAUGCUAAUGUCAAGUUUGGCUCUGUAGCACCAACAUGACACAAUGGGUGGGCGUCCCUGUUCUUAGUGGGAGUCUGCUUUCCUGGCUGAAGAAGCAGAUUAUGAGUAAGAUAAUAAAUCUAGUUGCAUAAGUCACAUUUGGGACUACAAUUCUCAGAACCCCCAGCCAUAAUGGCUAGAUAGGACAUUUGGGGUUCUAGUCCAUUAAAAAUGUUUAGAUAUCAAACUCUGCAUAUUGGUGGUGAAACGCCUAAUGUUUGCUGAUGGUCAGAAGCAGUAGCAAUGUCAACAACAGAAAGAAAUAAAAGGUCUUUUUUUUAAAAAAA
rnacentral:lncRNA from 1 species